GCCUGGGAGGCUCAGGCGGUUGAGCGCCCGACUUCGGCUCAGGUCAUGAUCUCACGGUUCGUGGGUUCGAGCCCCGCGUCGGGCU
rnacentral:tRNA from 1 species